rnacentral:rRNA from 1 species
AUUGAACGCUGGCGGCAGGCCUAACACAUGCAAGUCGAGCGAAGCCUUCGGGCUUAGCGGCGGACGGGUGAGUAACGCGUGGGAACGUGCCCUUUGCUACGGAAUAGCCCCGGGAAACUGGGAGUAAUACCGUAUGUGCCCUUCGGGGGAAAGAUUUAUCGGCAAAGGAUCGGCCCGCGUUGGAUUAGGUAGUUGGUGGGGUAAUGGCCUACCAAGCCGACGAUCCAUAGCUGGUUUGAGAGGAUGAUCAGCCACACUGGGACUGAGACACGGCCCAGACUCCUACGGGAGGCAGCAGUGGGGAAUCUUAGACAAUGGGGGAAACCCUGAUCUAGCCAUGCCGCGUGAUCGAUGAAGGCCUUAGGGUUGUAAAGAUCUUUCAGUGGGGAAGAUAAUGACUGUACCCACAGAAGAAGCCCCGGCUAACUCCGUGCCAGCCGCCGCUGUAAUAC